GACGAACGCUGGCGGCGUGCUUAACACAUGCAAGUUGAACGGAAAGGCCCUGCUUUUGUGGGGUGCUCGAGUGGCGAACGGGUGAGUAACACGUGAGUAACCUGCCCUUGACUUUGGGAUAACUUCAGGAAACUGGGGCUAAUACCGGAUAGGAGCUCCUGCUGCAUGGUGGGGGCUGGAAAGUUUCGGCGGUUGGGGAUGGACUCGCGGCUUAUCAGCUUGUUGGUGGGGUAGUGGCUUACCAAGGCUUUGACGGGUAGCCGGCCUGAGAGGGUGACCGGCCACAUUGGGACUGAGAUACGGCCCAGACUCCUACGGGAGGCAGCAGUGGGGAAUAUUGCACAAUGGGCGGAAGCCUGAUGCAGCAACGCCGCGUGCGGGAUGACGGCCUUCGGGUUGUAAACCGCUUUCGCCUGUGACGAAGCGUGAGUGACGGUAAUGGGUAAAGAAGCACCGGCUAACUACGUG
rnacentral:rRNA from 1 species